AUUGAACGCUGGCGGCAGGCCUAACACAUGCAAGUCGAGCGGGUGAAGGGAGCUUGCUCCUGGAUUCAGCGGCGGACGGGUGAGUAAUGCCUAGGAAUCUGCCUGGUAGUGGGGGAUAACGUCCGGAAACGGGCGCUAAUACCGCAUACGUCCUGAGGGAGAAAGUGGGGGAUCUUCGGACCUCACGCUAUCAGGUUAGCCUAGGUUGGAUUAGCUAGUUGGUGGGGUAAAGGGCUACCAAGGCGGCGAUCCGUAACUGGUCUGAGAGGAUGAUCAGUCACACGGGAUGUGAGGCACGGUCCAGACACCGACGGGGGGAAGCAGUGGGGACUAUUGCACGAUGGGCGAAAGCCUGAUACAGCAAUGCCGCGUGUGGGAAGAAGGACUUCGGAUUGGAAAGCGCUUUAAGUUGGGAGGAAGGGAAGUACGUUAAUCCCUGGCUGUAUUGACGGUACCGACAGAAUAAGCACCGGCUAACUCCGUG
rnacentral:rRNA from 1 species